GAUGAACGCUGGCGGCGUGCCUAAUACAUGCAAGUCGAGCGAACAGACGAGGAGCUUGCUCCUUUGACGUUAGCGGCGGACGGGUGAGUAACACGUGGGUAACCUACCUAUAAGACUGGGAUAACUUCGGGAAACAGGAGCUAAUACCGGAUAAUAUUUCGAACCGCAUGGUUCGAUAGUGAAAGAUGGCUUUGCUAUCACUUAUAGAUGGACCUGCGCAGUAUUAGCUAGUUGGUAAGGUAACGGCUUACCAAGGCAACGAUACGUAGCCGACCUGAGAGGGUGAUCGGCCACACUGGAACUGAGACACGGUCCAGACUCCUACGGGAGGCAGCAGUAGGGAAUCUUCCGCAAUGGGCGAAAGCCUGACGGAGCAACGCCGCGUGAGUGAUGAAGGUCUUCGGAUCGUAAAACUCUGUUAUUAGGGAAGAACAAACGUGUAAGUAACUGUGCACGUCUUGACGGUAUCUAAUCAGAAAGCCACGGCUAACUACGUGCCAGCAGCCGCGGUAA
rnacentral:rRNA from 1 species